rnacentral:rRNA from 1 species
ACGGGCGUGUGUGCUGGUAUGAGUCUUCCCUCCUUCUAGAGAGUCAUGCCUGCUGUUCACUCAGCUGGGACGUGUGCGAUCUAGAUCAUUUACUUUGAAAGAAUUAGAGUGUUUAAAGCAGUCUUAUGCCAGAAUACAUUAGCAUGGAAUAAUAAAAUAGGACUUCGGUUGUUUCUAGAACUGAAGUAAUGAUUGAUAGGGACAGUUGGGGGUGCUAGUAUUCCGUGGCCAGAGGUGAAAUUCUUGGAUUCACGGAAGACUAACUACUGCGAAACCAUUCACCAAGGAUGUCUUCUUUAAUGGGAUCGAAGGCGAUCAGAUACCGUCGUAGUCUCAACCAUAAACUAUACCGACUAAGGAUCGGCAGACGUCUCAUUUCGACUCUGUUGGCACUUUAUGAGAAAUCAAAGUCUUUGGGUUUCGGGGGGAGUAUGGUCGCAAGGCUGAAACUUAAAGGAAUUGACGGAAGGGCACCACGAGGAGUGGAGCCUGGACAUAGUGAGGAUUGACAGAUUGAAGAUCUUUCUUGAUUCUAUGGGUGGUGGUGCAUGGCCCUUCUUAGUUGGUGGAGUGAUUUGUCUGGUUAAUUCCGUUAACGAACGAGACCUCGACCGUUCAGCAAAUAGUGGGUUGAACUCUUUGGGUUUG